rnacentral:tRNA from 1 species
GUCCAGGGUAGCCUAGUGGUCAUGGCAUGUGCCCGGUAAGCGGAAGGUUGUGGGUUCGAUUCCCAUCCCUUGACA